rnacentral:rRNA from 1 species
CAGGAUUUUUAUUUAUCUUAGUGGCGGACGGGUGAGUAACGUGUGGGCAACCUGCCCUAUACUGGGGAAUAAUCACUGGAAACGGUGACUAAUACCGCAUGUCAUUACGGAAGGGCAUCCUUCUGUAAGAAAAGGAGUGAUCCGCUUUGAGGUGGCCUCGCGUCCGAUUAGCUGGUUGGUGAGGUAACGGCCCACCAAGGCGACGAUCGGUAGCCGGACUGAGAGGUUGAACGGCCACAUUGGGACUGAGACACGGCCCAGACUCCUACGGGAGGCAGCAGUGGGGAAUAUUGCACAAUGGGGGAAACCCUGAUGCAGCGACGCCGCGUGGAGGAAGAAGGUCUUCGGAUUGUAAACUCCUGUUGUUGAGGAAGAUAAUGACGGUACUCAGCAAGGAAGUGACGGCUAACUACGUGCCAGCAGCCGCGGUAAAACGUAGGUCACAAGCGUUGUCCGGAAUUACUGGGUGUAAAGGGAGCGCAGGCGGGAGAACAAGUUGGAAGUGAAAUCCAUGGGCUCAACCCAUGAACUGCUUUCAAAACUGUUUUUCUUGAGUAGUGCAGAGGUAGGCGGAAUUCCCGGUGUAGCGGUGGAAUGCGUAGAUAUCGGGAGGAACACCAGUGGCGAAGGCGGCCUAC